AGGCAUGAGCCACCACGCCCGGCCUGAUUUCCUGUUUUUUAUCUAUUCAAACUAUAAGAAGAUUACCUGCUGACAUACCUCAAUAUUUCUAUAGAAAUUGCGAUUGAUAUUCCAAUUUAAGGGAGUAAUCAUCUAGAAGAGACAUAUACAACUGGUGAGAAAACACAUUUGGCUCGGCACACUUGUUAACAUAGUACGUUUAUAUUUAUGAAUGACGAACAGCAUGACAUCUGAAGACAACAUCAUCAAGAGAAAGAUCCAGGAUGAACUAAAAACAAACCAAAACAAAUCAACCCUGGAGGAAAUAGAGAUAAUGCAGAGAACAAAAAAAACAAAACAAAAGAAACCUUAACAAUAAUUCUUAUUGCCCUUAUAAAUAUUUAGGUGUAAAUUGAAUCUAUUGGAAAAAAUGUUUAUAAAUUUAAUAAAUGAGUGUGGAAAUAAAAAAGAUAGCCAAAGUCCAAAAGGUAAAAAUCAACAUAGUUAAGAUAUAUAGCAGAACAAAUUAUCUCAAAAAAUAGCAAUAAGUAAUCUGAAAGAAAAAAAUCAAGGAAAUUUGACAGAAUUUGGACAGAAAAGAAACAGAAGAAAAUGAUUAUGAGGAAAGUUAAGUAAUAAAAAAAUGGGAAAAAGAGCCCGCAAAAGGAGUGCUAGAUGGAGAGUAGAGAAACACUAGUUUGUCUUAUCUGAUGUACUGUAUACAUGGGUAGAAAACCUAAGUCUUCAGUUGCUGAACAACAUCAGGCAAAAUGACUCAAACAGUAAAAAUUUCAUAAUAUCAAGAUUAAAGAGAAAAACCUUAAAACUAUUUAGAAAGAAAUAAAACAAAGUAUAUUGCAUUAUGUUGAUUUCAAAGGAUUGGCACUCAGAAAGACAUCAGACUUCUCGUCAGCAACAUGGAACCUGAGAACAAUGACUUCCUAAGUCUGAGAGGAAAAAAAAUGUUUUAAACCUAGAGUUCUACAACUGGAUGUGUUAUCAAUCAAAUGUGAGGGUAAAUUAUACACUUUUUCAGGCAUAGAAUAACUAAGAAAUAUCAUUAUGUAUAUUUACUCUGUGAAAACAAUCAUUUUAGGGAGUUUUCCAGAAAAUAAAAAGAUACUACCCUACUCCAAAAUAUGAGACAAUAUAGAAUACAAAAAUAGAGUAACUAGUGAAUCUUAUCCAGAAGAUGGGAAGGAAGUUAGAAACAAGUUUUCAAUGGCUUGUUCUUACAUCUGUAUGGGUUCAAUCUAACUUUUUAAUUCUGUGGUACAUAAUGUUUUCAUAAUCACAUGUUAAAUUAUGCACUGUGGUUUAACCUUUUUGUAUUAAGCUAUAGAAACAGAAAAUUCUCUUUAGGAUGCGUAUUUACAGAAGAGAAUGUAAAAGUUAUAAGCCCUUAAUAAUUUUUCUUAAAAUUUUUUAAGAAAUGGAAGAAAAGAUAGAGCUUAAGGAGCUAAUUUUCUUUCUUUUAAUCCAGGGUAAAAUAGAUAAUAUUAAGUGCUAGCUUUAAAAAAAGAAAUUACAAUUUGUCAUGUAAAGAAAGAAAGUUUUAAAAAGUGAAAACCCAAGAAGAAAUUAAAAUGAUUAACUCACAAACAUUUGGAUGUGGAGGGAAAGGGAGAUGAGGGAUUGCAUAAAAUCCCUAAAUUUUUCAUCUUUAAAGGUGGCAAAUAAUGGAGAUCUAAAGCUGAUAAUGAUAUAAUAAAAUUUUAAGUGUCAUAUUUGAAAACUUAACCUCCAGAUGUCCUAAAGAGUAAAAGAUUAACACUGGUUGACUCUGAGGUAGAGGAGGAGGAGUAUAAGUUUUUUUUUUUUCCUGUUUUUUUUUUCACAAUGUCUUUGAAUUAUUUCUAUAAUAAACAUUUAAAUAUAAAUUUAAAAUAUUAACUAUGCUAUAUUCAUACAAUGGAAUAUCAUCCAACCAUUAAAAAUAAUAUUAUAAAUCUCUAUGUACUGAUAGUGAAAUAUAUCCACAAUCUUUUAAAUAAAACAAGUAAGUUGCAGAAUAUAUGAUAUGAUCCCUGCUGUGUAAAUGUGCAUGUUUAUGCAUAUAGAUGUGUAUAUUUAUAUAUGCAUAGAAAAUGUCCAGUGAGAUAUCCAUAAAAAUGUUACUAAUGUCUUUUUGUGAUUUAGAUUGUGUCAGGCAGAGGAAACAUUAUUCAUUCUUAAUGCACAUUUUAUUGCUUGGAUCAUAGUAUAAGGAGCAUAUAUAACUUGUGUAAUUAGGGAAAUAAAAUAUCUUAUUAAUUGGCUUCUAUGAUACUGCGUUUCCCCUCCUACUUUCCUGUCCAUGCUUUCUCAUUUGUCUUUAUUUUUCAGCUACAAAUCUAAAUCAUCAACACAAAUAUCUUCUGUAACUUCAGCCUAAUAUAUCUAACUACCACCAGCUGCAUCUACUUUUAUGUCCCACAGUAUUUCAAACUCACUUUUCCAAAACAGAAUCCUCUAUCUCUCUGUUUUUUCUCACCAAUAAAAGCAACCUGUACCAUUGUUUAGCUUUCCCUUCUUUUCCUUAUGAAUGAAGUCUCCAUCCCACCAGUUACCAAACUUAGACCUUGGGGUAAUAUCAUUAACCCUCCAUCUUCAUGACUGAGAAUAUCCAAUCACUAAAUCCUUUCUAUUUGACCUUCUGUAUCUUUUAACUUCAUUAAUUUUACUUUCUUGUACAGCUCCCCUUAUCAAAAAUGUUUAGCAUAUUUUACAUGACCAUUCAUUGUCUGGCCACUGAUUUACCUCUUGAGCCUUAUCUCUCAUGACUCUGUUCUUUGCACAGCCUGUUCCAUUUCCGUAAGUUUGGCAGAUAUGCCUUACAGGCUUCUGCAAAUGUUGUUUUCUGUUGGAAUGUCUUUCCUCACAUCCCUGCUUGGCCAACUCUUGCCUUACUCUUUUAGUUAACAAUUAAGACAUUCUUCCUGAAUCAUCCUGUGCCUAUUCUGUCUCUCUGUCUUAUAAGCAUUUAUUUAUUAAACUAGGUUUCUUAUUAGGAUAUCAUAUCUCCAUUGCCUAAGCUAGUGCCUGGUAAACUGUAGAUACUCAAUAGUUUUGUAUUAAGUGAUUAGUGAAUGAUAUAUGUCAUUUUCCUAAACAGGACCUGGCUUAUUAGAUGGGUUAAAUGAACGGCAAUUACUAAUUUUUGAAGCACUUAACAAAUCUACUCAUUGCUAAUCAUUAACAGGUAGGAGAAAACUUAUUUUCAUUGAGGAGUUUAUUGUGAUCCAGAAGCUCUUGUUGCCUCAAAAUAAAUAAAAUAGAAAAUUCAAGAGCAGUUUUAUUAAAGAGUAUAGGUACUCUACCACGGCCAAGUGAUUCACCUACUUUAGGGCAUCACUGCCUGACAGACCACAAGACCAUAUGGCUAUUAUCUUCACUACGACCUGCUGUAACCCCAGAGAAAUAUCUCCCUUUGUUAAUGUGUUCAGUUAAAUGCUUUAAGUAGGUAGUGGCGCUCACCCUGCAUUUGAUGCCACUGAUGAGCAGAAGUUUUGGGCAAAACACUAGAAGUGUCACCUUGCUCUGAUAGGAGCUAAUGGGCAGAUCGCAGAUACAGACAAGUCCCCAGUUUUCAUGGAGUUCUUCAGAAUACAUGCUUCCUUCUCUGGGCACAGCAGGGCACACCAAGGAAAUUUGUUCCAGGAAAGUUACCUACUGCUUUGGUGUUCUUAUUUUAUGAGAGAUGAUUAUGAAAGUGACCUCAAAAAUGGGGGGAAACAGUAUGAGUUUGGAAAGAUAGUCUGAAUCAGGAUAUCAGCUAGUAAGGGAGUAAUGAGAAUGCCAAUUGCCUCCUCCCAACUGGACACAUUGAAAGAAGUUGAGAUCCUUCAAAGCUGGAAGGACCCUUUGCUGGAAGAGGAGGAAAAUCCUGGCCCCAGCUAGUUCAUUGCCGGGCUGUUUCAGGAGACUACCUGGAUCAAUCAUCAAACAAACUUGUUUUCCCAUGAAGAUUAAAGCCUGUAUAAAAUAUCAACAAACAAAAGACAAAUAAUCUAUGGAUAUGUGUGUAUAAAAACAUAAUAUUUAUGCAUAAAGAAGUUAUGGAGGGAUGCAUAUCAAACUUUGGUAUUAAAAGUGGCAGAGAUGGGGGAUAUGUAAUGCUUUUUUCAUAUAUCUAUGUAAAUUUGCUUUCCAGGUGCAUCAGUGUGUAUACAGAAGUUAGUUCUGUAUUCAUACGGUAGCUAUUCUUUCUCUAUUGCUUUUUUUCAGAUUUUAGUGCUUGAAUAAUUUUAUUUACUCUUGCAUUAGAAAACAAAGUAAAUGAUGGAAAGGAAAAACAAAAGACCAACAUCAGUAUUAAUCGUGUCUUCAUUUUACCCUGAAAAGAUAACAGAUUAUUGAUCCCCAGAGAUUCAAGUCCUGGCUUGAAUGCCCUUUCUAUUGCAGAUGCAAUUAGGAAGUCUAUUCAGUUCAAUUUAAUAGUCCUUUCAAGUAAGUUACCUGACUUAAAACACCCAACAUUUGGUGAGCACCUAAAUGUGCUUUGAGAAAUAAAGAGAAAGAAAACACUCCCGCCACUCUCAAGGAGCUCCCAAAGAGCUCUAUAUAUCAUCUGAAAAACCUUUGAGGAACAUUUUCCAAUAUUUUUUACUUAGAAAUCUAAAGACAUAUACCUUUCCCCAUACAUGUGAAUUAUCCAACUUUUUAAAAAAUCAUGAAUAGAUACACCCCAAACUCAAAGAAGAAUGUGAGACUUGUAACUGAAAGUGGAAAGUGGCACUAUAAAAUAAUUAUGAUUCUUUAUUUCUGAUGGGUGUCUACAAAAGUGUGGGCAGUCUAGUUAUGACCACAGGUCUUCAUUAGUUUCAGUUAUUUAAGCUCUGUACUAGUUCAGUCCAUUUAAGUGUCAUCUAGGAUGCUGACACAGAAUCAAAAUAAUGACAAUGAAGGAACCAAGAGGAAUAAAACGGCAGUAAUCUGCUUUUUCGAUCCAAUCAAGCCACGGAGUUGAGAGUUACAAAUAAAUUAAUUUGGCAUUUUCUUUUUCAGAACCUGAAUCACUUGCAUCUCAGCUCCACACUAUAAAGACCAUUUGUUAUUACUGUGCUUUGGACUUGUUUUAUAAUUUCACCAUCUGUUGAAUGUUAAAUACUGUAUAUCUUCACUUGGUUUUCAACAUUGUAAUGACAGCCUCACUAUCUGAUUGGCAAGGAGGAUUUCCACAAGCAUGUAUUCACUUCUAUAAUUGGGAUACAUGAUACUCAACUAAUGUACUUGAAAGUUCUCUGACGAUGUCUUUGUGCUCAAUCUUACGUAAGUUCAAAAUGCUAAAAUAAUUUUCAAGUGGCUAUGUUUCAAUAUUUUCAACAACUUUUUCCAUUUUUUGGCCAGUGUUUACAAGGUUCUUGGGUUUUAAAAAAUUUCCCUCAUGUCAUCAUACAAUUGAUUAAAAUACUAACCAACCUAACUCACCAGAUUCCUAGAAAAAAAAAAUUAAAGACUAGAAAUCUAGCAUCUAAAAUAAUAAAUAUAAUUUGCUUUUCCCUGACCUUUUCUUAUAUAAAUUCAAUUUCUUUGUGUCCUCUGUGUGCUGCUUCUACCAAUUACACCUUUGC